rnacentral:rRNA from 1 species
AGAGUUUGAUCAUGGCUCAGAACGAACGCUGGCGGCGUGGAUAAGACAUGCAAGUCGGACGAGAUUUUUCGUUGUAGCAAUACGAUGGAAAGUCUAGUGGCGAACGGGUGCUUAACACGUGGGCAACCUGCCAAGAAGUGGGGGAUAGCUCGCCGAAAGGCGAAUUAAUACCGCAUGUGAUCAGAGAGGACAUCCUUUCGAAAUUAAAGUCGGGGCAACCUGACGCUUUUUGUGGGGCCCGCGGCCUAUCAGCUAGUUGGUGAGGUAACGGCCCACCAAGGCUUUGACGGGUAGCUGGUCUGAGAGGACGACCAGCCACACUGGGACUGAGACACGGCCCAGACACCUACGGGUGGCAGCAGUCGAGAAUUUUUGACAAUGGGGGAAACCCUGAUCGAGCGACGCCGCGUGGAGGAUGAAGGUCUUCGGAUUGUAAACUCCUGUCAUUGGGGAACAAUGCGUGACGGUUAACUGCCGUUGCGUUGAUAGUACCCGAAGAGGAAGAGACGGCUAACUCUGUGCCAGCAGCCGCGGUAAUACAGAGGUCUCAAGCGUUGUUCGGAUUCAUUGGGCGUAAAGGGUGCGUAGGCGGCGCGGUAAGUCGGGUGUGAAAUCUCGGAGCUUAACUCCGAAACUGCAUUCGAUACUGCCGUGCUUGAGGACUGGAGAGGAGACUGGAAUUUACGGUGUAGCGGUGAAAUGCGUAGAUAUCGUAAGGAAGACCAGUGGCGAAAGGCGGGUCUCUGGACAGUUCCUGACGCUGAGGCACGAAAGGCCAGGGGAGCAAACGGGAUUAGAUACCCCGGUAGUCCUGGCAGUAAACGGUGCACGUUUGGUGUGGGAGGAUUCGACCCCUUCUGCGCCGGAGCUAACGCGUUAAACGUGCCGCCUGGGGAGUAC